rnacentral:rRNA from 1 species
GAUGAACGCUGGCGGCGUGCUUAACACAUGCAAGACGAACGGUGAAGCAGGAGCUUGCUCUUGUAGAUCAGUGGCGAACGGGUGAGUAACACGUGAGCAACCUGCCCCUGACUCUGGGAUAAGCGCUGGAAACGGCGUCUAAUACUGGAUAUGUGAUGUGACCGCAUGGUCUGCAUCUGGAAAGAAUUUCGGUUGGGGAUGGGCUCGCGGCCUAUCAGCUUGUUGGUGAGGUAAUGGCUCACAAAGGCGUCGACGGGUAGCCGGCCUGGGAGGGUGACCGGCCACACUGGGACUGAGACACGGCCCAGACUCCUACGGGAGGCAGCAGUGGGGAAUAUUGCACAAUGGGCGGAAGCCUGAUGCAGCAACGCCGCGUGAGGGAUGACGGCCUUCGGGUUGUAAACCUCUUUUAGCAGGGAAGAAGCGAAAGUGACGGUACCUGCAGAAAAAGCACCGGCUAACUACGUGCCAGCCGCCGCCGUAA